rnacentral:lncRNA from 1 species
GUUCAAUUGCAACCUGAAAAAAAACAUGGACGUCGCAUAAGACAAAAAAGAAAUUUAAUCAGUAAGAUGUAUUUACUCGUAGAACAACUAUGAUAGACGUUUGUUUCAUUUUUCCUGCAUUCAUAUAUGCAUCAUAACUACUCUUCUGCAACAUGAAGUAUAAACAUGUCAUUAUUUAGAAGAUAUGACAAUGUUAUAUAAAUUGUCAAAGAAGUUUUUGUAACUUUUGUAUCAAUUAAGGUAUCUAACAAUCAACAUUCAUCUUCUCAUGCACAACUGAAUUUAAAAACAAAAAUUUGAUGAGUGCUAGUUCAGCUUUCAUUCUGUGAAUAUCACUGUCACUUACCCUAACAACUCGUAGUCGGUUCGAAUGCACAACAGUAGCUAUCAUCUAACCCAGAGCUGAAAGUUUCCGUAACUGCUCCAUCUUGUUAGACAAAGGUGAAAGUUUCCACAACAUGAGAAUUAUGAAAUUCAUUACAUUGCAUAUAAGUUUCAACAAAACAAACUGGAAACCAAUAGGGAAAAAGGGGAGUUCAAUUGCAACAACAGUGAAGAAAAAGGUCACAAACAUGAUCAAUCAAAAAGCUGCAAACCAAAAAUAUGUACGAAGACAAAAGGUCCCUUUUUCAUACACAAAUAAAAAAGGGCAGCUGAUGGUUCAAAAUUGAACCCAGAUAAAUAAAAGAAUGAGGUAACAGCCAGUAAAGGCAUCAAUCUAUCAUGUUCCAAAAUUUGAAAUUCAACAUGCAUCUGUACUUGUAAUAUUCAUAUGUCUGUAGUGCAUUAAUCAGAAAUUAACCUGCAUAAAACGUCCCAGUGAGAUUUUGGAGCACAGCCGCAGCAUGUUCUCCCUUCCUUGAACUGAAUGUACAUGUUACCAAUCUAACACACACACACACUCACACUCGAAGACAGUGUGCGGGCCCGCGUGCACACACAAUUAGUCAAACAAAUUAUGCCUAUACUAAAGAUCAAUUACGAAUUCAUUCUUCAUUUUGGUAAAACACUGAAUACAGAGAAAGAAACAUACUAUGUGAUGAGCAAAAUUAUCAUAGAUAUUCAAGCACCAAAAAAACAUACUAUGUGAUAAGGGAAAUUAUCAUAGAUGCUCAUCAAGCUCUCACAGUGUCAAACACAACUUCUC